rnacentral:rRNA from 1 species
UGGUGGAGUGAUUUGUCUGGUUAAUUCCGGUAACGAACGAGACUCUAUUCUACUAAAUAAGUUGCCACGCGGGUCUUGUACUCGCUGUAACUUCUUAGAGAGACUGGUGGAUUCAAGCCACACGAGACAGAGCAAUAACA